AAGACUUUAAGUUAAAACAAAACUAAUAUCCUUCAAAGUUAUAAAUAAAGAAGAAUAUCUUUAAGUCUUA
rnacentral:tRNA from 1 species